UGUCAUGUAGCUCAAUUGGUAGAGUGCUUGUCUACCAUGCAUGAAAUCCUGGGUUUGGUUCCUCAGCAUCACAU
rnacentral:tRNA from 1 species